UUAAAUGUAGUUUAUUUAAAACUUUCAAUUUCGACUUGAAUAAAAAUUUAAAAAUUUAUUUAAU
rnacentral:tRNA from 1 species